GAUGAACGCUGGCGGCGUGCCUAAUACAUGCAAGUCGAGCGAACAGACGAGGAGCUUGCUCCUCUGACGUUAGCGGCGGACGGGUGAGUAACACGUGGAUAACCUACCUAUAAGACUGGGAUAACUUCGGGAAACCGGAGCUAAUACCGGAUAAUAUAUUGAACUGCAUGGUUCAAUAGUGAAAGACGGUUUUGCUGUCACUUAUAGAUGGAUCCGCGCCGCAUUAGCUAGUUGGUAAGGUAACGGCUUACCAAGGCAACGAUGCGUAGCCGACCUGAGAGGGUGAUCGGCCACACUGGAACUGAGACACGGUCCAGACUCCUACGGGAGGCAGCAGUAGGGAAUCUUCCGCAAUGGGCGAAAGCUUGACGGAGCAACGCCGCGUGAAUGAUGAAGGUCUUCGGACCGUAAAACUCUGUUAUUAGGGAAGAACAAAUGUGUAAGUAACUAUGCACGUCUUGACGGUACCUAAUCAGAAAGCCACGGCUAACUACGUG
rnacentral:rRNA from 1 species